rnacentral:rRNA from 1 species
AGUGAACGCUGGCGGUAGGCCCAACACAUGCAAGUCGAACGGCAGCACAGUAAGAGCUUGCUCUUACGGGUGGCGAGUGGCGGACGGGUGAGGAAUGCAUCGGAAUCUACUUUUUCGUGGGGGAUAACGUAGGGAAACUUACGCUAAUACCGCAUACGACCUACGGGUGAAAGCAGGGGAUCUUCGGACCUUGCGCGAUUGAAUGAGCCGAUGUCGGAUUAGCUAGUUGGCGGGGUAAAGGCCCACCAAGGCGACGAUCCGUAGCUGGUCUGAGAGGAUGAUCAGCCACACUGGAACUGAGACACGGUCCAGACUCCUACGGGAGGCAGCAGUGGGGAAUAUUGGACAAUGGGCGCAAGCCUGAUCCAGCCAUACCGCGUGGGUGAAGAAGGCCUUCGGGUUGUAAAGCCCUUUUGUUGGGAAAGAAAAGCAGCAGGUUAAUACCCCGCUGUUCUGACGGUACCCAAAGAAUAAGCACCGGCUAACUUCGU